AGGAGGAGGAGGAGGAGGAGGAGGAGGAGGAGGAGGAGGUGUGUGUAAGUGGAUGAAGCCCUUGUCUCAUGACCACGAUAUUUUUGGAAACCACAAAGGCAGGAGGAGGAGGAAGAGGAGGAGGAGGAGGAGGAAAAGGAGGAGGAGGAGGAGAGUGAAGAAUACGGAAAAAAAGUAAUAUAUGAAAAUCAACAAAAAAAAAAUUGAGAGAGAGAGAGAGAGAGAGAGAGAGAGAGAGAGAGAGAGAGAGAGAGAGAGAGAGAGAGAGAGAGAGAGAGAGAGAGAGAGAGAGAGAGAGAGAGAGAGAGAGAGAGAGAGAGAGAGAGAGAGAGAGAGAGAGAGAAAGGUAGAGAGUAGAUAGAGUAGACAGAGAGUAGAUAGAUAGAUAGAUAAAAACCACAGUAACCAUUCCUGUACAUUACAUCUCACGACCUCUCCAGCACUUCGCCGCCCCGUUGAAAUCCAGGUAACCAUCCAAUCAACCUUCCGUAUCUGACCUCCAAGACCUUCCCUUCACCUAAGCACCUCGAGAGCCAAUAAAAACAUCCUCCGUAACUCGAGUAGAAGUAAAGAGGGAGGGUGGGCAGUAAAUAUAUAUGUAAAAGUAUAAAGUAUAUGUAAUAGGAUUUUGAAAGUUUUAUUAUUAGAAGGUCAAGUUAAACGGAUGGGCAGUUAAAAUAUAAGUAAAAAGUAUAAGUUGCGGUAACAUUUUUCUUGGAGGUUUAUAUUUUUCAAAGGCCAAUUUUAAACGGAUUAGCAGUAUAAGUAUGAGUAUAAAGUAUCAUUUCCUGAAAGGUUUACAGGUUUGAAGGCCAGGUUUAAGCGGAUAAGUAUAAAGUAUAAAGUAAGAUUUUUGUGUAAGGUUUUAUAUUUUUCGAAGGACAAGUUGAAAGCGAGGCGACUUUUAUCAAGAGUCGACAUCGGGAUGGGUAAGGGAGGAGGGUCAACUCUUGCCGUCUCUCACCUAAGAUAGUCCUUAAUACCAGUAAAUAAGGAAGGAUUUUGGAGGAUAAACGAUUAUAAGACAAAAUGAGAGGUUAUCAAGGUUCUACUCAGCUCAGUAAAGGAAUCUAAACCAUCGGGAGGGUGAAGGAAUGAAGGAAAGUCGUAUCUCUCAUAAGACUGUCCUUGAUAACAGUACAUUCGAGAGGGGUCUUGAAGCGAAAACAGUUAUAAGACGAAAGCAAGCGUUAUCAAGGUUGUUCUUAGCUCUUGUUCGAUCGUCAAUAGAGAACGUAAAGGAAUUCAAGCACUGAGAGGGGGAAGGAAGGAAGGUCGUCUCUCUCUCACAUAAAACUGACAGAAAACAGUAGACAGGGAAGCAUCUUGAAGGGAAAACGAUUAUACGGCGACCAAAAACGCUAUCAAGGUUGUUUUUAGCUCUCGAUCGUCAGUGAAGAACGUAAAGAAAUUCGAAUUUACUUAAACGGAAGAUGAAAUGUAAAAGAAUUUAAAGUUACUGAAAUAAAAGUUUAAAAAAAUGACAGAGUAAUCGAGAUGAAAUUUUCCUAGUCAGCCGUUUUCCUCUGCUCAUUUUAUUAACUCCGAGUGCAAAGGUCAUACGUUCACAGGCGCCAUGUGACCUUUAGGAGAGCGCGAGAGGUCAGGUCACGCCGCCCGUGAUUGGUGUGAAGCAAAUGGUGAAGCGUCUCAUUACGGGCGCGCUGAUUGGCUCAUUACCACUCUCGCUGUGUUGCAAUUGGCUGUUACCUUUCGAGUCUGUUCUUUGUUCUUUUCUGGUCUGUGUCUGUCUGUUUGUAGGUCAUUAAGUCUGUCCGAGCGUCGAUGCGUUAGUCAGUCUGUCUGUCUGUCUGUCUGUCUGUUCUUUCUUCUAUUGUUUCAUUCGUCUGUGUGUGUGUGUGUCUGUCUUUCUGUCUACCUGUCUGUGGGUCUGUCUGUUCUGUUUUUCCUGUUCGCUAAUCCUGGUCACACACUCAGUCAUGGUAUGAUUAUAAAGUACAACUAAGCAUCACUAACUACGCCCACUUAUAUGGUAAUGAUAAUGAUAAUAAUAAUAAUAACAAUAAUGAUAACAACCACAACAGUAACAACGACACCAACAGUAACAACAACAACAACAACAACAGUAAUAAUAAUAACUAGUAAAUUAAUGGACUAAACCCAAUAAACACCUAAUUAUAUGUAUUUUUUUAUUCAUAUUUCUUAUUCGAAUAUAUCUUUUAUUUUUGAUAACCGAUAAAUUCCUCAAGCACUGAAAUUAUUAUUAUUAUUAUUAUACUUAUUAUCCCUUUCCUUCAGCUACUAAUUGCGUGUGUAUUAUCUUUCCUAUUACUUCUUUUUAUCUUCCUACAGACUAAUUAACUUCAUCAUACACUGGAAGAACUUGUAUUAUGGUCUAUUCAUUGCGUUUUUUUUUUUUUUUACUUAUACAUAAAUAUUUCUUUUACUUUACCAUGAUUUGUACUCUCGCGGUGGUGUGUGUGCGUGUGCGUUUGUGUGUGUGUGCGUGUGUGUUCCAGGUUUCCCCUAUGAGUGCGUGAGUGUGUCUGUCUUUCCUAUCACUAUUCACACUCAUCCACAUCAUCCAUCCGACUCCACUAAACACUCAUCCACCUAUCCUAUCCACAUGCCUCACCCAUCCACCUAUCCCAUCCAUUUGCCUCCCACAUCCCCCUAUCUCCUCCGUCCAUUCAUUUCUCAUCCACUCCCUGAAUUACCCCUCCCUCUGUACCUGUACCCUUCCUGUAGUCACCUUGUCUUUUGCACCUAUAUAUUAAUUAAGGUGUUCUGUUUUCUUGUUUCAGUUAGGUUACGGAGAUUGAAGAAGGUAAAUUUGCAUAGAUAGUGAUGGUUUUCUUGUUUUUUGUUCGUAUUUUUACUUAGGGACAAUGUAUAAAAACUACAUAGCUAUUGAAGUAAGUAGGAAAUAAAUGUAUGCAAUGUAAUGAUAAGGUGUGUGUGUGUGUGUGUGUGUGUGUGUGUGUGUGUGUGUGUGUGUGUGUGUGUGUGUGUGUGUGUGUGUGUGUGUGUGUGUGUUUAAAUAAAUUUCUAAUGACAGA